UACGUAGGGGGCAAGCGUUGUCCGGAUUUAUUGGGCGUAAAGAGCGUGUAGGCGGCCACACAGGUCUGCUGUGAAAACUCGAGGCUCAACCUCGAGCUGUCGGUGGGAACCGUGUGGCUAGAGUCCGGAAGAGGAGAGUGGAAUUCCCGGUGGAGCGGUGAAAUGCGUAGAGAUCGGAAAGAACACCAACGGCGAAAGCACUCUGCUGGGCCGACACUGACGCUGAGGAGCGAAAGCGUGGGGAGCGAACAGG
rnacentral:rRNA from 1 species